rnacentral:rRNA from 1 species
GUGUCAGCAGCCGCGGUAAGACGGAGGGGGCGAGCGUUGUUCGGAAUUACUGGGCGUAAAGGGCGCGUAGGCGGUUAGAUAAGUCGGGUGUGAAAUCCUUCGGCUCAACUGAAGGACUGCGCUCGAAACUGUCUGUCUAGGGUACAGGAGAGGAGAGUGGAAUUCCCAGUGUAGCGGUGAAAUGCGUAGAUAUUGGGAGGAACACCAGUGGCGAAGGCGACUCUCUGGCCUGAUACCGACGCUGAUGCGCGAAAGCCAGGGGAGCGAACGGGAUUAGAUACCCCGGUAGUCCUGGCCGUAAACGUUGGGCACUAGGUGUAGGAGGUAUCGACCCCUUCUGUGCCGAAGCUAACGCAUUAAGUGCCCCGCCUGGGGAGUACGGUCGCAAGGCUGAAACUUAAAGGAAUUGGCGGGG